rnacentral:rRNA from 1 species
GACAGAGGCCUCAAGCGUUAGGCGGAAUCACUGGGCUUAAAGCGUGUGUAGGCGGAUCGUUAAGUGCCUUGUGAAAUCCCACGGCUUAACUGUGGAACGGCUGGGCAUACUGGCGGUCUUGAGCCAUCUAGGGGCGACUGGAACAAACGGUGGAGCGGUGAAAUGCGUAGAGAUCAGGAAGAACACCGGUGGCGAAAGCGCUCUGCUAGGCCGCAACUGACACGAGGACGAAAG